GAGGCAGCCACUCUCCUGGAUUCUUUCCUCACAAUAAGUCCUUUGAGUGAGGAUUGGGUGUCAACCUUCUUUCUAUAGAGUGAGGCAAUGCAGAGAAAUAACUUUUCCCAGAGUAGGAACAAACCUGUUAUACCUCUGAUGGAAAAUUCCCUUAGCAGAGGGGAGAAGAGAAGUAACAACAUUCUCUGGUUCAAAGGCAGAACUGCUACAUUCCUGCACUAAACCAUCCCCACCAGAACAGAGCUAUAACACCUUAAAAACAAAUAAAUAUUUCAAUUUAGAUCAAGUUUUACAAAUACGUGAACAAAGGAGGACCAAUAACAAACAAUUCCUCUUGUUGAAAAGGGGAGAGAAUUGGGACACACAGUAAACAGUCCAGGUUUACAGUUGCUUUAAGGGCAUGAACCUAAGCAUCUCAAAGCAUGUUGUAGAUAGGCAAGGUGACACACUGGGCUCAUAUGUACUCUGUAAAGCCGAACAGAUUUUCUGGUAAAUACACAGGCUUGUCACCUCUCCUCUGAGGCACAAUUGCUGUCAUGAAUACAAAGCUGUUGAGAUUUCAACCUCAGGUCAUUGAUAUAUAUAUUCUCUGCUGUUAGCAUUAACCUUGGCGCCAUCCUGGACAACCAAGAAGAUCAGCAGGUCAUUUGAGGUGGGCCAAUGAUGUUCCCAUUUCCCCAGCACUACUUCUUCAACACCAGUCAUGUAGGAAGCCGGUUCCUGCAUUAUAAUGUUGCCUGAAGACACCAAGAUACACAAAGGUUGAAUUUUUCAAUCACCAGUCAACCCUAGGAAAUCUCAAAUUAAAUCUCUGAAUGUUGGAGAGAUGACUGCCAUGUGUGGCUGAAAUCUGGGGAAAGAAGAAUCUCCUCAUAUAUGGAAGCAGGAGAGGCUUCAUCCAGUAGCUGAUAAAAGCAGAAACAGGCACCGACAGCUAAACACUGAG